GCCGGAAAAGAAGAAAGAACAAGUGUAACGUGCGAAAGUACGGCAGCGAUGACAAUUCCGACAGGAAAAGCCACUGCCAUUCCUGUUUUUCUGCUUUUGCAGUUGUUUCCCUUCGAUCUCAAUGGUAGAAGAAUUGGAAACUGUAGAGAUUAUAAAAACAGGAAUGAUGCAGUAAAAGAUUGUGUUUUGCUGUGAAAUUGGAAAGGAAACGAACAGAUUGACGG
rnacentral:misc_RNA from 1 species